UACAUGUGGGGCAAGCGUUGUUCGGAAUUACUGGGCGUAAAGCGCACGUAGGCGGCUUUGCAAGUUAGAGGUGAAAGCCCGGGGCUCAACUCCGGAAUUGCCUUUAAAACUGCAUCGCUAGAAUUGUGGAGAGGUAAGUGGAAUUCCGAGUGUAGAGGUGAAAUUCGUAGAUAUUCGGAAGAACACCAGUGGCGAAGGCGACUUACUGGACACAUGUUGACGCUGAGGUGCGAAAGCGUGGGGAGCAAACAGG
rnacentral:rRNA from 1 species